rnacentral:rRNA from 1 species
GACGAACGCUGGCGGCGUGUUUAACACAUGCAAGUCGGACGAGUGGCGUACGGGUGAGUAACGCAUCGGAACGUACCGAGUAAUGGGGGAUAACUGUCCGAAAGGACAGCUAAUACCGCAUAUUAUUCGAGCGGCCGGUGUGUGAUUAGCUGGUUGGCGGGGUAAAGGCUCACCAAGGCGACGAUCAGUAGCGGGUCUGAGAGGAUGAUCGGCCACACUGGGACUGGGACACGGCCCGGACUCCUACGGGAGGCAGCAGUGGGGAAUGUGGGACAAUUGGCGCAAGCCUGAUCCAGCCAUGCCGCGUGUCUGAAGAAGGCCUUCGGGUUGUAAAGGACUGUUGUCAGGGAAGCGGUACCUGAAAAAUAAGCACCGGCUAACUACGUGCCAGCAGCCGCGGUAAUUC